rnacentral:rRNA from 1 species
GAUGAACGCUGGCGGCGUGCCUAAUACAUGCAAGUCGAGCGAACAGACGAGGAGCUUGCUCCUCUGACGUUAGCGGCGGACGGGUGAGUAACACGUGGAUAACCUACCUAUAAGACUGGGAUAACUUCGGGAAACCGGAGCUAAUACCGGAUAAUAUAUUGAACCGCAUGGUUCAAUAGUGAAAGACGGUUUUGCUGUCACUUAUAGAUGGAUCCGCGCCGCAUUAGCUAGUUGGUAAGGUAACGGCUUACCAAGGCAACGAUGCGUAGCCGACCUGAGAGGGUGAUCGGCCACACUGGAACUGAGACACGGUCCAGACCCCUACGGGAGGCAGCAGUAGGGAAUCUUCCGCAAUGGGCGAAAGCUUGACGGAGCAACGCCGCGUGAGUGAUGAAGGUCUUCGGAUCGUAAAACUCUGUUAUUAGGGAAGAACAAAUGUGUAAGUAACUAUGCACGUCUUGACGGUACCUAAUCAGAAAGCCACGGCUAACUACGUG